GUGUGUGUGUGUGUGUGUGUGUGUGUGUGUGUGUGUGUGUGUGCGUGCACUUACAUUUCUUACUUCAUGGGGUCCCACCGCAGGGAGCACACCAACCGCGGGGGGCCCACAACCGGUAUGGGGCCCUAAAUGGUGGGCCCCACACCGGUUUUCAUUCAAAAUGAGCUUUGCAGCCCCCCCUGAUGCCCCUCUUGCUUUUUUUUCACUUGGCCCACAAGGUCAGAAAAACUGGAAAUGUGUGUGUAAGUGUGUGUAAACUUUUUGCUCACUACCGCCCCCCGGAGCUUGUAAGGUGGAAGGUACGGACACACACACACCGGAAGUUUGUUUACACACUUCAGGAAGUGGGUAGGGUUUUAACAAGAAGAAGAGGAAGAUCAAGCUCAAGAUCGACAGCAUGCAACAGAGCCAUUAUGUCCAAAAGGAGGAGAAGGAUAAAGCCUGUAGAUGAUGCAAAGACAUAUAUUCUGUCUUGCACUGACAAGUCUGGAUUUAUGUCAAGACUCAUAGACAGUUUCAAAGGAAGAGGAGUGUUUGC